rfam:Triticum aestivum genome assembly, contig: Triticum_aestivum_CS42_TGACv1_scaffold_560749_7AL
AUACUUACCUGGACGGGGUCGACGAGCAAUCAACAAGGCUCAUGGCCUAGAUCAAUGGCUUACAUUAUUGCACUUGAUAAAUGCGUUGGUCUACCAUCUUCUCAAAUGGGAGAAUGGACGACGUCAUAAUUUAUGGUAGAGGGGAUAUGCGUUUACACGGCCCAAA